rnacentral:rRNA from 1 species
GUGGGGAAUCUUGCGCAAUGGGCGAAAGCCUGACGCAGCCAUGCCGCGUGAAUGAUGAAGGUCUUAGGAUUGUAAAAUUCUUUCACCGGGGACGAUAAUGACGGUACCCGGAGAAGAAGCCCCGGCUAACUUCGUGCCAGCAGCCGCGGUAAUACGAAGGGGGCUAGCGUUGCUCGGAAUUACUGGGCGUAAAGGGCGCGUAGGCGGACAGGUUAGUCAGAGGUGAAAGCCCAGGGCUCAACCUUGGAAUUGCCUUUGAUACUGGCUGUCUUGAGUACGGGAGAGGUGAGUGGAACUCCGAGUGUAGAGGUGAAAUUCGUAGAUAUUCGGAAGAACACCAGUGGCGAAGGCGACUCACUGGCCCGUUACUGACGCUGAGGCGCGAAAGCGUGGGGAGCAAACAGGAUUAGAUACCCCGGUAGUCC